rnacentral:rRNA from 1 species
UCAGGAUGAACGCUGGCGGCGUGCUUAACACAUGCAAGUCGAACGAAGCAACUAUCUUGCUGCAAGAAGUUGACUUAGUGGCGGACGGGUGAGUAACGCGUGGGUAACCUGCCUCAUACAGGGGGAUAACAGUUGGAAACGACUGCUAAGACCGCAUAACCCGCUAGUGUCGCAUGACACGGACGGAAAAUAUUUAUAGGUAUGAGAUGGGCCCGCGUCUGAUUAGCUAGUUGGUAAGGUAACGGCUUACCAAGGCGACGAUCAGUAGCCGACUUGAGAGAGUGAUCGGCCACAUUGGGACUGAGACAGGCCCAAACUCCUACGGGAGGCAGCAGUGGGGAAUAUUGGACAAUGGGGGAAACCCUGAUCCAGCGAACCGCCGCGUGAGUGAAGAAGUAUUUCGGUAUGUAAAGCUCUAUCAGCAGGGAAGAUAAUGACAGUACCUGACUAAGAAGCCCCGGCUAACUACGUGCCAGCAGCGGC